rnacentral:rRNA from 1 species
UACGUAGGGUGCAAGCGUUAAUCGGAAUUACUGGGCGUAAAGCGUGCGCAGGCGGCUAUGCAAGACAGAUGUGAAAUCCCCGGGCUCAACCUGGGAACUGCAUUUGUGACUGCAUGGCUGGAGUACGGCAGAGGGGGAUGGAAUUCCGCGUGUAGCAGUGAAAUGCGUAGAUAUGCGGAGGAACACCGAUGGCGAAGGCAAUCCCCUGGGCCUGUACCGACGCUCAUGCACGAAAGCGUGGGGAGCAAACAGG